rnacentral:rRNA from 1 species
GAUGAACGCUGGCGGCGUGCCUAAUACAUGCAAGUCGAGCGAACAGACGAGGAGUUUGCUCCUCUGACGUUAGCGGCGGACGGGUGAGUAACACGUGGAUAACCUACCUAUAAGACUGGGGUAACUUCGGGAAACCGGAGCUAAUACCGGAUAAUAUAUUGAACCUCAUGGUUCAAUAGUGAAAGACGGUUUUGCUGUCACUUAUAGAUGGAUCCGCGCCGCAUUCGCUAGUUGGUAAGGUAACGGCUUACCAAGGCGACGAUGCGUAGCCGACCCGAGAGGGUGAUCGGCUACACUGGAACUGAGACACGGCCCCGACUCCUACGGGGGGCAGCAGUACGGAAUCUUCCGCAAUGGGCGAAAGCCUGACGGAGCACCGCCGCGUGAGUGAUGAAGGUCUUCGGAUCGUAAAACUCUGUUAUUAGGGAAGAACAAAUGUGUAAGUAACUAUGCACGUCUUGACGGUACCUAAUCAGAAAGCCACGGCUAACUACGUG